CUGCGUGUGUGUGUGUACACGUACACAUUCGGCUGUGUGUGUGUGUGUGUGUGUGUGUGUGUGUGUGUGUGUGUGCGCGCGCGCGUCUGAACGUGAGCAAGUUGAGGGAAAGUGGACGACAUAGCUCGCGCGCUAUUCCUACAAUUAUUUUUUUUUCAAAGCCGAGGAGGAGAAAGUCGAAACUAUUAUGGUUUAUUAAUUUGGGACCUGGGAAACAAGCUACCAGGACUGGCUACGUCGCUAGCAAACUAAAUGAACGUACAAUAACGAAGUCGGUUUUAGUUCAAAUUGGUCUUAAUCAAGCCUGUCACAUAACGGAUUUCGACCGCUAUUAUGUCAAGAUAUUUACCUGCACAAAAUAUGGUAUUGGGGGCUGGUAUUGGGGGCUGGUUAUUCUCUUCAACAAAAGUUGAGUUUGUCAUCAUUGUGUGUGUGUGCGUGUGUGAGUGAGUGAGUGAGUGAGUGACUGUGUGUGUGUGAAUGUGUGUUACUGUUUGCUUUAGUAAGUCUGUGCCUUUUAAUGUGCAAACUGCUGUACAUUUCAAAGUAGUUGUUGCAUGGCUUCACACCAGCAACACAAAUAGCUAAGUGAAGAUAGAUAAGCCAUAUCCGUAAAAGUUCAGGAUGUUGAAGACUUUAACCAAGAAGCUAAGAAGACACUCGCUCAACGAGAUUCAUCCUUUUCAAUUUAAGAUUUCCUACCAUGGAAGUGGGGAGGGAGCGGAGAGCGACGAUUCCGAGGGGGAGAACCAGGAGCUUGCACAGAUUGACAGAGAGAGGCGGCGGAACUGCGGCCUCACCCCUCUGGCAACCAGCCAGCAGCACAAUCAGGGUCCCCUAUCUCCGGCACGCCUCCAUCACCUACGCCUCCUUCUAGACCCGACUCUGGACCGUCACUCGUCUGAAGAAGAGCUGGAGCGAAUCAGCCACGGCGUUGGAGACGGCAGGAAGUGGACGCUGCACCAUCGCCACGGUGACCACCCCAGCAGUGCCUCCAGCGACGAGGAGGUGUGGGACCUGUGUGGCUGUGGCCCAGUUGCAGCAUCCUUGGAGCCUGGGACUUGCCUGGCCGCUUCCACCAGCCCGGUGCUCUUUAGCUCAAGCCCACCUCACAACCUCAAGCCACCGCCUCCAAUUAAGCUCCAGUUCCAGGGGGUGCAGCCUGCUGCCAAGCCUAUCAUCUUGACCCACUUCGACCAGUCGGCGGCUCCCUAUAGGAAACACAGGCACAGCUACGGGGGAGAGCUGGGGAGGCCAAGUCUGGACCUGGAGAAAAUGCAACAGAAAAUGCUCCUGAAAAAUAACUGUGGUGGGAAAACACGGACCAUAAAGAUCCGGCAAAUGGCGGGGAUUUGGGCAUGAUCCCUGGAAAGCAGUAUAUCCUUCUCAUCGGACUCGUUAAAGGAAAAAGCUUCUUCCAGUUUGAGAGCUUGACUGGGACUCGCCCUCUGCCCAGGUACGCCUACGAUCCCUCAAUAUUUGCCUUCCGGUCCCUCAGCAGGGUCCCUCCUUGCAAUCCCUUGACUCCGUCCGAAGACCCCCCGUGUGUGUGAGGGGAUAACACCAACAAAACCACCCCUUCCUCACUUAUUGACUCUAUAGAAGACUCCCAGACUUCAUACUCUGAAGACGAGACUGAGCUAAAUAAUGAGUAUGGUAUGGUAUGACCGUUAGGACAACUUGACAAUGCCAAUGUUUGAAGGUCAAUAUAGUACUCUCAGAUAAUCCUGCUCUGUCAAAUCAUGCUGUUGCUCGGACAACUGGUUCACUUGACAGAACCAUCUAAGACACUAAGAAUGGGGAGAUCUUAACCCUGAUAUUGGAUGAUGAUGUGAGACAGGGGCAGACGGUAUGUGUGAACAACAAGGCUCCAAUCGAAAUUGCUUUGAAAAUACACCGCUUCACUCAAGCUCUCCGUACCAAGGACACUUCAGGUAUUUCAUACAUUAACGGCUGUCUUUUGGACACAUUUUCAAUGGAUGGUUGUUCUAAAAAUGAAUUAUCAAAAAUAUUUUUGAAGGACAAAACAAGCAUUCGAAAGCAUUCAAAGACCACUCCAAUGCGCUCGAUACAAGGGAAAUGUAUGUUGACGACAAUCAAAGGUCAAAUAAACGCAUGACAGGUUUGUUGUCUAGACCAGGGUUUCCCUAACCCGGUCCUGGGCCCCCCACAUUUUAGUUUUUGCCCUAGCACUACACAGCUGAUUCAAAUAAUCAAAGCUUGAUGAUGAGUUGGUUAUUUAAAUCAGCUGUGUAGUGCUAGGGGAAAAAACAAAAAAGUGCACCCCAGGGCCCCCCCGCCGAGUUUGAGAAACCCUGGUCUAGACGGACAACAGCUCAUUAGGACAACUCAUGAACAGAGGCUUUCUUGACACAUUGCAAGAUGUACACUGCACGAUAUAAGUAAAGAGUCUAUAUUUCGUGAUAUCAACCAGCGCUAAGUGCGUCGAUACUAGGGUCGAAAUGGAGAUCAGCUUUCUCCAUUCAAAUAUUUCCAUAACAUUAUAAUUAUUUCACAAUACUGACGACGGAUCAGCUCCUUGAGAGAUAUUUCCACCUAUGGCUGCAAAUAUUGAGCGGCGUAUUCUAAUGCUUUUAAUGCUUACCCAAUAAAAAUGCACUAAAUCACUGAUUUGGCACAUCAUUGCGCACAUGUUAGGCUACACAUCAUUAAAUAUAUUUAGAGAAAUUAUAUACAGUAGCCUACAUGUAGAAAAAUAGAACUUAAUUGAUUGAACAUGAAAUGUUUUUCAACAUAUUAUUGAAAACACCUACAGCCUACUGUUUAUAUUUUAAUGCAGUCAUCUCGGUUUUCACUUUGAAGCAUAUUUUUAUACGUCGCUCGUUUGUAUCAAUUGCAAAGACAUUAGCAAAUUCGUCUUUGUCGUGAACUUUGUUCUGAAGUUAUCGGCGGUCACAGAGAGAUCAGUCAACCAUGUGAUUCUAUGUUUAGCGGAGAUCUUCUGUUCAUUAAGUGAUGCUAGAGGGCAAAAAAGCAUCUAAAGUUGCACUUAGCUAUUCUACGAGUGAUCUGAGUCAGGCGUUAGAUUACGAGGGCUUUCAAGUGCAAUGUUAAUGAUAGUUUUGGGAAACAGCUCAGAUAUUUAACGUUGCUCCUACAAAGGGUUUAACGAUGAACUUAGCUUUAAGAUGCUUUUGGGAAACCGGGCCCAGGUCAUGAGAUACUACGAAAUGUAUGACUAGUUCAAGAGGUAACAAUGUAACCCUCAACCUGUUGACGAGUUUGUGAAUAUCACCUUAAGAGGAAAACAGGAUAACAUCAAAUACUUUGUCCUCUUUUCCUGUAUGCAUUUCACUGUGCUGUGGUGCAGAAAAUAAAGGUAUAUGAGCAUGCAAGAAAGGGAGUAUAAGAAAUCUAUGAGAAUAUGACAUGAUUUACUGCUUUAAUUUCAGUGCUGUGUCAUGAGCUUGUGUAGUACGCUAUGCAACACCUUUCUAACUCUGUAUGUACCUGUAUGUACCUCUUCUUCGGUGGCACAUCGCCACAUGUAUGAGACAACCAAAGGUCAUCCCAAAUGUCUCAUCGUUGUGCCUCUGAAUGACAUUCCUGAUCUAUUGAACGUUAAACUGAGGCUAGUCUUGACUGUAGGGUCGAUGUGCUAACGUAAUCAGUGACCAGACAACCUAUUUAUGCAUAUGAAUGUAUCCCUUGAUGGACAUGCUGCGAUCAAAACAAUGUCACCAUAACCAAGCUCUGCUAGAGUGAAUGUUGUGCAGCGCUCUGACAUUUCUGUGUCCCUCGCAUAAUUUAUGAACAAAUAAAUGCUCUGUGGCAUCUUGGUUCUUAGGAGUGAUACAUUUUAGAUCACAUUACAUAGACUAAUUCUACGUGCAUUGACACGAUUACCAUUUUGGAUUUGCUGUGUACCAGGGUUGGCAUCAAUCCCAUUUCAAUCCAGUCAAUGCCCAAUGUGAAUCCAAAAACGAGUGUCAUUUAUUUUCAGUGAGGACAUAUUCUCCGUCACUCUGUGUGUCUCCUUCCUCAUUGCCGUGGCCCACACAGCUUCUGAUCCAUGACCCUGGUCUACUGCAUCUCUAGCUCCAGUACUGGUGGAGCUCUGAGAGUUGAAUCUGGGAUUACUCCAUCCUUCAAGAGCCAAUUGGGUCAGGAGGAUAUAGAGGGUCAGGCAGCAUGGUCGGGAGUGGGCUGGGCCAGGAGCUUAGAGAGGAGGCUCUGGAGCGAGAGCCCAGGGCCAAAGCUGUCUGGAGGUCCUGCGGCACUGGGAUUUGGAAAAGUGUAUUUAUGGGAACUGAGAAUUGAACGUGUGUGAGAGUACAGUACAUGCUUGCAUAAAGUAUGUGUAUUUGCAGAAGUGCGUGCAGCUUGUGCACCUGGUAUGUGAGUUAUGUGCUACUAGGGCUUCUGCAGAUAGAUACCCACAUAUCAGAGUGUAUGUGCAAAUAAUAGUGUGUCUAUGCGGGUGCAAAGGCUGAGUGGUGGCGUAGAGUGAGGCAGGACUUGUGUAUGUGUCACACCAAAGCCUGCCAAGACGGCAAGGUUCCCACCCCUCCUCACUGGAUCACAGCAGAACAUCUCACCAAAUGGUGCAAGCUGCUCAUUGCCAGAUCAGACUGUUUGUGUCAGUAGGCAGGUUUCCAUUCUCAGGUUUAUUCAACAAAGCAAAAAAAAUUGUUUGCGACGUGUAAUGGAAACGGCAGAUAUACAUAUUUUCUAAACAUCGGUAACAUUUUUAUCCGAUUGACAGGGGUGGAUUUUUUGGUUGAACUUCGUGACAAAUGAAGUGGAACGUUUUUUUUUUCUUUUCUUGAAUCAAUGUUUGGUGAAUAAGUUUGCAAGCCACGUGAUGUCGUCACACAACUCAAGCUCCACUCCACAUUCAAUUCUAAAUGUCUAUUGCUAGCAAAAUACAUUUUUUUAAACAAAAAUGUUUUCUUUGCAGGACAAGGAUUGUCCUGACUUUCAAGAAUGCCUGAAUUGCUUCAUCUUGCUUUUCUGGUUGGCUGGAUGCAAGUUUCACCAUCCAAUUAUAACAGAUCUACAGGAGUGCAAAUCUCACCGUGGCACAGUCAAGUGGGGCACAUGAUCAUUAUUAGAAUAUGGCAAAUAUUAGUCAAUUAUUGCAUUCUAUCCAUGCUGGCUUUUGCAGGCUACCAGAGACAUUAACAUUAUUGGUGGGAGGGCAUACAGGCUGUCACCAAUGUAUUAUUGCGCAAUUUGCCUAAAUGGGUGAUCGAAACACUUCAACCACUUCACUUUUAUUCAACACUGGUUUAUUUUUUGUUGUUGGGGUGUGACAUUAAGUCCAGCUGUUUUUAAAAUCGAUAUAGGAUGGUUAAUUGGAAACAGGCAGGCAAUUGUCGCAUCUAUUUUCUAUGCAAACUUUAAUGUCAACAAAAUCACUGGACAAGUUAAUGGAAACAGAGGAUCUCACACACACACACACACACACACACGGUUGGCUGUGAGAAACAUACCUGUAUACAUUGAGAUGGAUGGGGAGGGUGGAGGCUUUGGGGAUUGUGAAAAUUGAGGGGUAGAGAUUCAGUGGUUGAACUGGAGAUGAGAAGACGUGCAGUUUUAGACAAACAAAUGUCUAAAAACAUGGAGCUAUUUAUUUGUGGGGAAAUUAGUCUUCACUGCAAACCUUGAAAGAUGACCUUGAAAGAUGGAAUCUGAACAACCCUGUACCUUGUGGACAACUUUAUUGUACAAAUAAAAAGUAACAAAAUACACAA